rnacentral:rRNA from 1 species
AUUGAACGCUGGCGGCAUGCCUUACACAUGCAAGUCGAACGGUAACGGGCCUUCGGGUGCCGACGAGUGGCGAACGGGUGAGUAAUACAUCGGAACGUGCCCGAUCGUGGGGGAUAACGAGGCGAAAGCUUUGCUAAUACCGCAUACGAUCUACGGAUGAAAGCAGGGGACCGCAAGGCCUUGCGCGGACGGAGCGGCCGAUGGCAGACUAGGUAGUUGGUGGGAUAAAAGCUUACCAAGCCGACGAUCUGUAGCUGGUCUGAGAGGAUGAUCAGCCACACUGGGACUGAGACACGGCCCAGACUCCUACGGGAGGCAGCAGUGGGGAAUUUUGGACAAUGGGCGCAAGCCUGAUCCAGCCAUGCCGCGUGCAGGAUGAAGGCCUUCGGGUGGUAAACUGCUUUUGUACGGAACGAAAAGCCUUCUUUUAAUACAGGAGGGUCAUGACGGUACCGUAAGAAUAAGCACCGGCUAACUACGUG